rnacentral:tRNA from 1 species
UAGCUCAGUCAGUAAAGAAUCUGCCUGCAAUGCAGGAGACCCAGGUUCAAUUCCUGG